rnacentral:rRNA from 1 species
AAACCAGCACCUCAAGUGGUCAGGAGGAUUAUUGGGCCUAAAGCAUCCGUAGCCUGUUCUGUAAGUUUUCGGUUAAAUCCACUAGCUCAACUAGUGGGCUGCCGAAAAUACUGUAGAACUAGGGAGUGGGAGAGGUAGACGGUAUUCGGUAGGAAGGGGUAAAAUCCUUUGAUCUAUUGAGGACCACCUGUGGCGAAGGCGGUCUACCAGAACACGUCCGACGGUGAGGGAUGAAAGCUGGGGGAGCAAACCGGAUUAGAAACCCGAGUAGUCC